rnacentral:sRNA from 1 species
UUUCGUCUGUACAUUGAGAGGAUGAGAACCUCCGAAGGAGGUUUGAGCCGAACGUAGUGAGACCACGUUGCUUUAACAACGGCCCGCAGGGCAAGCAUCGAAGAUGCGCAUAAUCCUCUCAUGCCGACCA